UCUCUGAUUUCACCUAAUUGCAACGACAAGCAUCAUUUUAAUUUCAUGUCAUAAAUUUACCAAUUUUGACAAAUAUACAUAUUUGAGAUGUAGAAUUAAAAUUUUCCUCAAAUAAGCCAUUGGAUGCUUGAAUGCGAACCCUACUAGCAAAGCCAGGAAUUGACGGGGGGAGGGGCGAAGUUAAAAGAGUGCAAGGUUCAAAAGAAUAGCAACAACCAAAUCAUUUUAUAUAGUAAUGUCUUCCAUAAUUUAUCAACAUAAACAAAUUACAAUUGUUGCCGACGACGUUUCAUACCAUGAAAACGUCACAUAAUAGGCUCAUUAUCAAUAAAAGCAAAUACAUCUCUCUCUAUGUAAACAAGCAUACUAUCACUCAACCAUUGAUCUCCCAUUUUGUUACGCAAUGGUGUUUUCACAAUCUUCAUAGCAGAAAAAGCUCUCUCCACCGAAGCGGUUGCAUGAAGAUUAGCCAAUAUCUCAUCCAACUCAGUGGGCUCACUUUGUUGUGAACUACUCAGAAUAUUCAAAGGAUGACUUCUUAUAUUUGAAGGAGGAGGAGGAUGACUACUUGGAAUAUUUGAAGGAGAAGGACUACCCGAAAUGUUUGAAGGAGGAUUUAAGCAUUGUUUCUUAUAGUAAUGUUCCAUUACGUAACUGUAAAAUGAAAAGAAAAGAAAAAUCUUAGACUCUUAAUCCUAGAGUAGACUAUACUAAUAUGCAUAAUAACCCAACCAACAAUUCAAUUAAUCAAUACCAAUAAGCAUAUAAAUUAUUAAAUAAAUAAAAAAUUCAUUCAACUAAUCAUAUGAAUACAACUAAUCAAAAAUUCAAAUUUUAAUUUUCACCCUAAAAAAUAAUUUCAUAAUUUCAUAUCAAUCAAUAAUCAUAGAAUCAUAUCAAUAAUCAAUAAUCAAUAAUCAAUAACCAUAUUAGUGCAUUACCAUAUGAUUCUAUACUAAUUAAACAAAAUUCGUAUUAAAUAAUUAAUUAGGGUUAGGGAUUAUAAAUUUAGGAAUUAUAAAAUUUACCUUUGAAAUUGAAGGCUAGAAGUCGGCUUAGCGGCUGGAGUGGCUAGUGUUAGCAGCAAAAAGCCAACAGAAAUUAGCCAAUGGGGAUUUAUUUUCCGUUCCGUUGGGGUUGUGCGUUGGCUGCAGGCUCAGGCUGCUGAGAUUUUGGGAGAAGCUUUGCACUCUCUCUCUCUCUGAUUGGGGAAGGGAGAAAUUUGGAAUGGUAAAGCAUGACACGCGGGCUGACUAAGUGAAGGACUGGGGGACAUGCCACGCGGUCCCCCCAAAACAUAUAUAUUUUUUUGGUUUUUUUCAAACAUUGAAAGUUUCACGUGGAGGGGCACUAAUUUGAAACAGACAUGAGACAUGGAGGGGCCUAACUUUGGGACAUGCGGGCCAGAUUUUAAAUUUUUUAUUAAUUUAAAAGGAAAAAAAAGAACCCAGUGCUGCUGCACGCAGCAGCAAAACCAGUUCACCGGUGCCAAAACAGAGAUGGAGGGGCUGGGUUUUCCGGUGAGGGGAGGGGCGAAACCUCGGCUUCAACUGUGUUUUCCGGCGAGGGGAGGGGUGGUCGCCACUCCUCGUCCUCACGUGGCUUCGCCACUGCCUACUACGAUCACCAUGUUUCCAUACAAUCAGAAAUGUUCCGGUGUUUCCAGGGGCAUCUGAACGUUCUACGACUCGGAUUCCCCGGCCCUUGGGUUGACAAAUGACAAUCCGACAAACUGGUUGUUGGAUGCCACCCCCUUGUUCUGCAGACAAAUACUUCUUCAGUGCUUUGUGAACUUAAAGCGCACUUUUGUCCCAUCCUGCCAGUUAAAAUCGAAAUUCAGGCAUAUAUAGCUCGAUCAUUGCAUGUGUGAAAUUUGUAACAGCAUGCUCUUAGAAAAACAGACAACACUAAUAUAAUUAUGGAAACUUUAACGAAAAGUUCCCGGUACUGUCAUAUUUUUACACUAAAAAGUUAAUCCUGAUACUAUUCAUUUUACCCUUUAUUUUGUCAUUAUCAUUAAAACUCAAAAUUUUCAAAUUAUUUUCAUUAGUUUUGCUUAUAAUUAUAUUAUAUUAUAUAUAUAUGUGUGUAAGUGCGUGCGCGCGCGGGGGCGCGUGUAGUAAUAUUACGAAAGGACAAGGAUUGUCUACCCUCGCGUGUCCUCCUGUUUGUGUAGUAACGGUUAAGCCACGUCAACAUUUUAUAUUACUAUUUAUUUUUGUCUUAUUAUCCUUAUAAAAAAAAUAAUAUAAAAUAUUAACAUAGCUUAACUAUGAUUACACAAAACAAGAGGGUACGAGAAAGCAGACAAUCCUUGUCCAUUACCAAAAGAUCAUUGUUGGGGAUUCCUUCAAAGAGACAAGAUUUAAUCCAACCCUCAAUGAGCAGCCAAUUCCCAAGAUUACAUCUUUGAAUUCUGUGCUAGGGAAAGAGAAACUCAAAAUAUGAUUAUGGCUCCUUAAACUACAGAGUAUGAUUGUAGUACAAUUUUUU
rnacentral:lncRNA from 1 species